rnacentral:rRNA from 1 species
AGCGAACGCUGGCGGCAGGCUUAACACAUGCAAGUCGAACGGGCACUUCGGUGCUAGUGGCAGACGGGUGAGUAACGCGUGGGAACGUGCCUUUCGGUUCGGAAUAAUCCAGGGAAACUUGGACUAAUACCGGAUACGCCCUUCGGGGGAAAGAUUUAUCGCCGAAAGAUCGGCCCGCGUCGGAUUAGCUAGUUGGUGAGGUAAAGGCUCACCAAGGCGACGAUCAGUAGCUGGUCUGAGAGGAUGAUCAGCCACAUUGGGACUGAGACACGGCCCAAACUCCUACGGGAGGCAGCAGUGGGGAAUAUUGGACAAUGGGCGCAAGCCUGAUCCAGCCAUGCCGCGUGAGUGAUGAAGGCCUUAGGGUUGUAAAGCUCUUUUGUCCAGGAAGAUAAUGACUGUACCGGAAGAAUAAGCCCCGGCUAACUUCGUGCCAGCCGCCGCAGUAAAAC